rnacentral:rRNA from 1 species
GUUUGGCAGGAAAUCAUUCGUAAUAAAUACAUGGGUUCCAAAGCAAUCUCCCAAGUUUACUGGAAACCGGGUGACUCACACUUUUGGAGUGGGGUGAUGAAAGCUAAAGAUUUUUUUUUCCAAUUUGGAACGUUCUUGGUCAGGGACGGCUCCCAAAUACGAUUCUGGGAAGACACAUGGUUGGGGAACAACCCCUUAAACGUGCAAUAUCCAAGCUUAUAUCGGAUAGUUAGACAUAAGUUUGUCACGAUUAAGCAAGUGUUGGGUCAAGAAAACCCAGAUAUUUCUUUUCGUAGAACGCCCUGUGGACCUCGUUUGGCAGCAUGUGAGGAUUUGCUAACCCGUUUGGGAGCCAUUCAGCUGUCGGAGGAACCAGACAUCUUUCGAUGGAAAUUGCAUCAGAGUGGAAAGUUUUCGGUCAAAUCCAUGUAUGAUGCAUUGGUACAUAAUGAGGUCCCAAUUGAUAAUAGAAAACUGUGUAAGCUUAAGAUUCCUCUAAGAGUGAAAAUUUUCCUAUGGUUUCUCAAUAAGGCUUUGUUCGGUUACACCCUGUCUCAAGGGGAUUGGAGGGGAUUUGGGGGGAUUUGA